rnacentral:rRNA from 1 species
AAUUGUAAUAUUAACUAAGAAGGAUUUAUUCGCUUAUAGAGGGGUCUAUGGUUGAUUAGCUAGUUGGUGGGGUAAGAGCUCACCAAGGCGACGAUCAAUAGCUGGUCUGAGAGGACGAUCAGCCACACUGGGACUGAGACACGGCCCAGACUUCUACGGAAGGCAGCAGUGGGGAAUUUUCGCAAUGGGCGAAAGCCUGACGGAGCGACACCGCGUGGAGGAUGAAAUUUUUCGGAAUGUAAACUCCUUUUGGCAGGAAUGAAACAAAUGACAGUACCUGCAGAAUAAGCAUCGGCUAACUACGUGCCAGCAGCCGCGGUAAUACGUAGGAUGCAAGCGUUGUUCGGAAUUACUGGGCGUAAAGAGUACGUAGGCGGUAAUGAAAGUCUGAUAUUAAAGACUGGGGCUUAACCUCAGGAGUGUAUCGGAAACUUCAUAACUAGAGGACAGUAGAGGAAAUUGGAAUUCCCAGUGUAGCGGUGAAAUGCGUAGAUAUUGGGAG